rnacentral:lncRNA from 1 species
UGAUAAAAAUGGAAUUCAUUAAUAUUAAUCAACACAAAGAAAAUGGUUCAUCAUUUGGGGAAUUCGACUAUGUUAAUUAACAAUUCUAAAGUUAGAGUUAAUUAAAAACACAAUGAAUUAUGAGUAUAAGAGAAAUUGAAUUUGGGCCCCGUUUGGCCUAAAUUCACUGUUGUCCAAAAAAGAAGUGAGUUGUUGUUGAUGCAUGUUUGGGUUUGUGGCUCAUUUUCACAUGUAUAUUAGUUUCUGCUUGCUAUAUUUGCGUUUGGAUGAGUGAUGAGGCUAACUCAAUGAGAGAGGAUUCGUUGGGUUUUGAACCAACUCGGGAUGCAAGAGGGAAAAAGAGUCCAAAUUGAACUCCGCCA